CCUUUACAUAAGACAGCAGACCAGUGAAGAACACCCACGACAAAACCUGCAGCAGGAAACAAGUCAACAAACUGAUGGACUGACGGAAUGACUGACGCCCGGACCCCAAUCAGCCUGAUGAGGCAGCGAGGGAUAAAGGCGACCGAAGACGGCAGCUCGAGAGGGAGAGAGAAUUACGGGCAGCUGCCCUAUUAUUGCAUCAAUCUCCAACAUCUGCUGAUCAGGAACCAACACAACAACAGCAAACAACUACACGAG